rnacentral:tRNA from 1 species
AGUUAAUGAACUUGAAUAAGUAUAUAUUUUGAAAAUAUAAGAUAAGGUAUAAUCCUUAUUAACUU